rnacentral:rRNA from 1 species
AGUUUGAUCAUGGCUCAGAUUGAACGCUGGCGGCAGGCUUAACACAUGCAAGUCGAGCGGAGUGAUGGUGCUUGCACUAUCACUUAGCGGCGGACGGGUGAGUAAUGCUUAGGAAUCUGCCUAUUAGUGGGGGACAACAUUUCGAAAGGAAUGCUAAUACCGCAUACGUCCUACGGGAGAAAGCAGGGGAUCUUCGGACCUUGCGCUAAUAGAUGAGCCUAAGUCGGAUUAGCUAGUUGGUGGGGUAAAGGCCUACCAAGGCGACGAUCUGUAGCGGGUCUGAGAGGAUGAUCCGCCACACUGGGACUGAGACACGGCCCAGACUCCUACGGGAGGCAGCAGUGGGGAAUAUUGGACAAUGGGCGCAAGCCUGAUCCAGCCAUGCCGCGUGUGUGAAGAAGGCCUUAUGGUUGUAAAGCACUUUAAGCGAGGAGGAGGCUACUGAAGUUAAUACCUUCAGAUAGUGGACGUUACUCGCAGAAUAAGCACCGGCUAACUCUGUGCCAGCAGCCGCGGUAAUACAGAGGGUGCAAGCGUUAAUCGGAUUUACUGGGCGUAAAGCGCGCGUAGGCGGCUAAUUAAGUCAAAUGUGAAAUCCCCGAGCUUAACUUGGGAAUUGCAUUCGAUACUGGUUAGCUAGAGUGUGGGAGAGGAUGGUA